rnacentral:rRNA from 1 species
UACGUAGGGACCAAGCGUUGUUCGGAUUUACUGGGCGUAAAGGGCGCGUAGGCGGCGCGGUAAGCGUGCGGUGAAAGCCCGGGGCUCAACCCCGGGUCGGCCGUGCGGACUGCCGGGCUGGAGCACUGUAGAGGCAGGUGGAAUUCCGGGUGUAGCGGUGGAAUGCGUAGAGAUCCGGAAGAACACCGGUGGCGAAGGCGGCCUGCUGGGCAGUAGCUGACGCUGAAGCGCGACAGCGUGGGGAGCAAACAGG